rnacentral:tRNA from 1 species
GGCGCGCCCGGCCGGGCGGUCCGCGCCGCGGGCGGCUUCGGGCCGCCGGUCGGGGGAGACGUCGGGUUCGGUGUUCCGGGCCGCACCG